UACGGAGGGGGCUAGCGUUGUUCGGAAUUACUGGGCGUAAAGCGCACGUAGGCGGCUUUGUAAGUUAGAGGUGAAAGCCCAGGGCUCAACCCUGGAAUUGCCUUUAAGACUGCAUCGCUUGAAUUGUGGAGAGGUAAGUGGAAUUCCGAGUGUAGAGGUGAAAUUCGUAGAUAUUUGGAAGAACACCAGUGGCGAAGGCGACUUACUGGACACAUAUUGACGCUGAGGUGCGAAAGCGUGGGGAGCAAACAGG
rnacentral:rRNA from 1 species